rnacentral:RNase_P_RNA from 1 species
ACGGCAAAUCGGCUCAUCGCGUGACGCCUUUGGCGUUAUGAGGAAAGUCCGGACAGCAGAGGGCAGCCUGCUUCCUAACGGGAAGGAUUCCGAGCAAUCGGAAGACAGCAAGUGCAGCAGAAAGUAAACCGCCGCGCCGCAGUGGCGCGGUAAGGGUGAAAAGGUGGGGUAAGAGCCCACCGGUGUGCAUGGUAACAUGCGCAGCCAGGUAAACCUCAGGUGCUGAAAGGCCAUGUAAACCGCGGAUUGAAGGUAGCCCGCCUGAUCGCGGAGGGUAGGCUGAUAGAGCGUUUCGGUGACGGAACGUCGAGAUAAAUGAUGAGCAUUGAAACAGAAUCCGGCUUAUGAAUUUGCAAUUUUG